rnacentral:rRNA from 1 species
GACGAACGCUGGCGGCGUGCUUAACACAUGCCAGUCGAACGGAAAGGCCCUGCUUUUGUGGGGUGCUCGAGUGGCGAACGGGUGAGUAACACGUGAGUAACCUGCCCUUGACUUUGGGAUAACUUCAGGAAACUGGGGCUAAUACCGGAUAGGAGCUCCUGCUGCAUGGUGGGGGUUGGAAAGUUUCGGCGGUUGGGGAUGGACUCGCGGCUUAUCAGCUUGUUGGUGGGGUAGUGGCUUACCAAGGCUUUGACGGGUAGCCGGCCUGAGAGGGUGACCGGCCACAUUGGGACUUAGAUACGGCCCAGACUCCUACGGGAGGCAGCAGUGGGGAAUAUUGCACAAUGGGCGGAAGCCUGAUGCAGCAACGCCGCGUGCGGGAUGACGGCCUUCGGGUUGUAAACCGCUUUCGCCUGUGACGAAGCGUGAGUGACGGUAAUGGGUAAAGAAGCACCGGCUAACUACGUG